GUUUCCGUAGUGUAGUGGUUAUCACAUGCGCCUCACACGCGCAAGGUCCCCGGUUCGAUCCCGGGCGGAAAUA
rnacentral:tRNA from 1 species